GACAUGGCUAUGGUGGGACUG
rnacentral:piRNA from 1 species